CCGGAGGCUACUGCUAUCGGGGUUCGAUUAAGCCAUGCGAGUUAAAUGUUCUUCGUGAACAUAGCGAACUGCUCAGUAAUACGUGGAUAACCUACCCUUAGGACCGGAAUAACCCCGGGAAACUGGGGAUAAUACCGGAUAAGCCAUAGACGCUGGAAUGCCCUAUGGUUCAAAGCUCCGGCGCCUAAGGAUGGAUCUGCGGUCUAUCAGGUUGUAGUGGGUGUAACGUACCUACUAGCCGACGACGGAUACGGGUUGUGAGAGCAAGAGCCCGGAGAUGGAUUCUGAGACACGAAUCCAGGCCCUACGGGGUGCAGCAGGCGCGAACACUUUACAAUGCGGGAAACCGCGAUAAGGGAACCCCGAGUGCCAGCAUCAAAUGUUGGCUGUCCGGAUGAUUAAAAAUCAUUUGUUAGCAAGGGCCGGGCAAGACCGGUGCCAGCCGCCGCGGUAACACCGGCGGCCCGAGUGGUAGCCGUUUUUAUUGGGUCUAAAGGGUCCGUAGCCGGCCUGAUCAGUCCUUUGGGAAAUCUGGCAGCUUAACUGUCAGGCUUCUAAGGGAUACUGUCAGGCUUGGGACCGGAAGAGGUAAGGGGUACUCCAGGGGUAGGAGUGAAAUCUUGUAAUCCCUGGGGGACCAUCUGUGGCGAAGGCGCCUUACCAGAACGGGUCCGACGGUGAGGGACGAAAGCUAGGGGAGCAAACCGGAUUAGAUACCCGGGUAGUCCUAGCUGUAAACGAUGCUCGCUAGGUGUCAGACACGGUGCGACCGUGUUUGGUGCCGCAGGGAAGCCGUUAAGCGAGCCACCUGGGAAGUACGGUCGCAAGGCUGAAACUUAAAGGAAUUGGCGGGGGAGCACUACAACGGGUGGAGCCUGCGGUUUAAUUGGAUUCAACGCCGGAAAUCUUACCGGGGGAGACGGCAGCAUGAAGGUCAGGCUGAAGACCUUACCAGAUCCGCUGAGAGGAAGUGCAUGGCCGUCGUCAGUUCGUACUGCGAAGCAUCCUGUUAAGUCAGGCAACGAGCGAGACCCGUGCCCACAGUUGCCAGCAUACCCUUCGGGGUGAUGGGUACUUUGUGGGGACCGCCGCUGCUAAAGCGGAGGAAGGAGCGGGUUACGGU
rnacentral:rRNA from 1 species